rnacentral:rRNA from 1 species
UAAUACGGAGGGUGCAAGCGUUAUCCGGAUUCACUGGGUUUAAAGGGUGCGUAGGUGGGCUGAUAAGUCAGUGGUGAAAUCUCUAGGCUUAACCUGGAAACUGCCAUUGAUACUAUCGGUCUUGAAUCUCGCGUAGGUAAGCGGAAUAUGUCAUGUAGCGGUGAAAUGCUUAGAUAUGACAUAGAACACCAAUUGCGAAGGCAGCUUACUUCACGAGCAUUGACACUGAGGCACGAAAGCGUGGGGAGCAAACAGGAUUAGAUACCCUGGUAGUCCACGCCCUAAACGAUGGAUACUCGACAUAUGCGAUACACUGUAUGUGUCUGAGCGAAAGCAUUAAGUAUCCCACCUGGGAAGUACGACCGCAAGGUUG